AGAUAUAAAUAAUGGAAAUGCGAAUUGUUCUGAACAAAGCAAAGAAACAGUAUUUCAAAAUUAUAGCGAAGACUCAAUUCUUCUAGAUAAUAAAAAAAAAAGAAAAGUUUCAGAGGGCCAAUUUCUUAGUCAAAGUUCUGGAAGGCUAGAAA
rnacentral:rRNA from 1 species